ensembl:misc_RNA Metazoa_SRP Metazoan signal recognition particle RNA
GCUGCGUGUGGUAGUGCACGCCUGUAGUCCCAGCUACUCAGGAGGCUGAGGCGGGAGGAUCGCUUGAGCCCAGGAGGUCGAGGCUGCAGUGAGCUGUGAUUGCACCACUGCACCCCGGCCUGGGCGACAGCGAGACCCUGUCUCUU